UGAGUCAGUGGUCAUCAAUGGUGGUGGAUGAAUCAUGGACAAUGAAUACUAUGUGUCUGGAUAACGAGGUCCAG
ensembl:snoRNA small nucleolar RNA SNORD113/SNORD114 family